UCGUUGUAGCAAUACGAUGGAAAGUCUAGUGGCGAACGGGUGCUUAACACGUGGGCAACCUGCCGGGAAGUGGGGGAUAGCUCGCCGAAAGGCGAAUUAAUACCGCAUGUGAUUAGAGAGGACCAUCCUUUCCAAAUUAAAGUCGGGGCAACCUGACGCUUCUUGUGGGGCCCGCGGCCUAUCAGCUAGUUGGUGGGGUAACGGCUCACCAAGGCUUUGACGGGUAGCUGGUCUGAGAGGACGACCAGCCACACUGGGACUGAGACACGGCCCAGACACCUACGGGUGGCAGCAGUCGAGAAUUUUUGACAAUGGGGGAAACCCUGAUCGAGCGACGCCGCGUGGAGGAUGAAGGUCUUCGGAUUGUAAACUCCUGUCAUUGGGGAACAAGGUGCAUACGUUAACUGCGUGUGCAUUGAUAGUACCCGAAGAGGAAGAGACGGCUAACUCUGUGCCAGCAGCCGCGGUAAUACAGAGGUCUCAAGCGUUGUUCGGAUUCAUUGGGCGUAAAGGGUGCGUAGGCGGCGCGGUAAGUCGGGUGUGAAAUCUCGGAGCUUAACUCCGAAACUGCAUUCGAUACUGCCGUGCUUGAGGACUGGAGAGGAGACUGGAAUUCUCGGUGUAGCA
rnacentral:rRNA from 1 species